AACGAACGCUGGCGGCGCGCCUAAUACAUGCAAGUCGAGCGAGAAGACGUAGCAAUACGUUUGUAAAGCGGCGAACGGGUGAGGAAUACAUGGGUAACCUACCCUCGAGUGGGGAAUAACUAGCCGAAAGGUUAGCUAAUACCGCGUACGCUCCUUGGACUUCGGUUCAGGGAGGAAAGCGAUACCGUGGGUAUCGCGCUCUUGGAUGGGCUCAUGUCCUAUCAGCUUGUUGGUGAGGUAACGGCUCACCAAGGCUUCGACGGGUAGCUGGUCUGAGAGGACGAUCAGCCACACUGGCACUGCGACACGGGCCAGACUCCUACGGGAGGCAGCAGUAAGGAAUAUUGCGCAAUGGGCGAAAGCCUGACGCAGCGACGCCGCGUGGGGGAUGAAGGUCUUCGGAUUGUAAACCCCUUU
rnacentral:rRNA from 1 species